CGGGUAGUAGAGGAGUCAGGUCUAUCUCGCCUCAUUUGGAUUGAGGAGCACGCAGGUUCGAAUCCUGCUUACCCGA
rnacentral:tRNA from 1 species